rnacentral:piRNA from 1 species
UGAGGACUGGUUGCAAAAUGCACGUGU